CUCAUAGUGACAGUUAUAUUCUGCUUUUAUCCAGUCUGUGUUAUCAAGAAACCACUUGCAAUGUCACUGAUGCCAAGUCUGAUCUUUAGUUGGAACAGAAAGUUGGUGUUGCCAGGCAUAAGCAGAAGAUAUCAGCAAGAAUAUUCUGGUAGAGUUCAUUGUGUUUUUGGCUAGACUCAACUUUGAAGCUCAGCUCCUUAUCUCUGCUACUGCCAGAAGCUGCAGGGCUGGCUCUUAGCACAGAAGAGAUAUGCUGCACUACCUUGCUGCUGAGCACAGAAAGAGGUUAACUUUUCAUCUGUCUGCUCUUCUGUAUCUGGAUGUAUCUGCUCUUGCUGUUGAACUGGAUGGCUGUUGUGAAAUGGCUUCGUUUGGAUCACAAACUGAAUAUCCCUUCAGCCACCAAGGAACUCAAACCCUUGGUAAAACCAACUCCUUGCUAAAUUCAUCACAAGCCACAGGUACAAAAACAAAAAGUCAACGCAGCGUGGCUCUCGCAGCAAUCUUCUCGUGGCAGCACUUCACAACACACAGCAAGGCUCUCCCAGCUGAAGAACAAAAACUUAUCGUUACAGAAGCAGAAACAAAGCAUUGUGCAUACCUUGCUGCUUCCGUUGCCUCAGGAAAACUCAGCUCAGAUUCCGUCUGUGGUUUUCAGCAAGAAUACUGCUUUUCCCUUCUUCCCGCACAACUUUCCAGCCAGAUUGACUGAACUGCAGAAAGGUCAAAUGACUUGCUUGGAGGUCCCUUCAGAUUGUCAUCGAGUUGCCCUCAAUUUGAGCUGAAGAGAGGUCUGGUCCCUAUACUGCAGCGGAGACACAGAGAUCGGGUUUCCAGAACGCUAGCAAUCCCCAGCUUGCCGCAAAGUCAGAUGGAGACGAGUGGCCACGGAGACCACGCAGGAAGAAAAAGGAAAUAAAGAAGAGCGACAGUUUGCA
rnacentral:lncRNA from 1 species